GACGAACGCUGGCGGCGUGCUUAACACAUGCAAGUCGAACGGAAAGGCCCUGCUUUUGUGGGGUGCUCGAGUGGCGAACGGGUGAGUAACACGUGAGUAACCUGCCCUUGACUUUGGGAUAACUUCAGGAAACUGGGGCUAAUACCGGAUAGGAGCUCCUGCUGCAUGGUGGGGGUUGGAAAGUUUCGGCGGUUGGGGAUGGACUCGCGGCUUAUCAGCUUGUUGGUGGGGUAGUGGCUUACCAAGGCUUUGACGGGUAGCCGGCCUGAGAGGGUGACCGGCCCCCUUGGGACUGGGGUACGGCCCGGACCCCUACGGGGGGCAGGCGGGGGGAAUUUUGCACAAUGGGCCGAAGCCUGAUGCAGCAACGCCGCGUGCGGGAUGACGGCCUUCGGGUUGGAAACCGCUUUCGCCUGUGACGAAGCGUGGGUGACGGUAAUGGGUAAAGAAGCACCGGCUAACUACGU
rnacentral:rRNA from 1 species